CCUACGGGGGGCUGCAGUUAAGAAUCUUGCGCAAUGGACGAAAGUCUGACGCAGCGACGCCGCGUGAAGGAUGAAGGCUUUCGGGUUGUAAACUUCGGUAGACUGGGAAGAAAAAGUACGUUCGUUGAGGGCGUGCAUUGACGGUACCAGUCUGAAGCCCCGGCUAAUUACGUGCCAGCAGCCGCGGUAAUACGUAUGGGGCAAGCGUUGUUCGGAAUUAUUGGGCGUAAAGGGCUCGCAGGUGGGGGUUAAAUCUCUGGGCUCAACCCAGAGUCAGCCUGAAAAACUGGAGAACUUGAGUACGAUAGGGGAUAGCGGAAUUCUCGGUGUAGCGGUGGAAUGCGUAGAUAUCGAGAGGAACACCAAUGGCGAAGGCAGCUAUCUGGAUCGUAACUGACACUCAUGAGCGAAAGUGCGGGGAGCAAACAGGAUUAGAUACCCUUGUAGUC
rnacentral:rRNA from 1 species